CUUUAAAUUAGUAUUACUUCAGUAACUGUUGCUUUUGGAAACGUUGAGUCUUUACUGUUUGAAGUGAAUCUGGAGUCCUAAACAGAGGAAUGACCCACUGCAGUGACAAUGACGAGCAGAGUGAUGACGGAGCAGAAAAACCCAACAAGAGCCAGAAGAAGAGAAGUAAAGGAGAAAAGCAUGUGUCUUUCCCUCCCGAUGGGCAGAUGGUGUCCGGCUUUGCUGAGCACAGGGACACUGACAGAAAGGUUGACAGCUGCCUCACCUUGACAGAGGUAAUGGUGGCGUACCAGCAGAGCUGCAGCAGACACCAGGUCCAACCCAGAGAGCACAUCCUGCAGCAGCUCCAGGUACACAGCUUCACACUUCACUCUGAGUCUUUGCACAUGUCAGUCAAACAGCAUGGGCACGUCUUUUUGUUGGAUUUACUGUUGAAGGUUGAGUUUCUGUGGGUGGUUCUGUUUUCAGUGUUUAUCACUGCUCAUUGCAGUGCACUAAGGUACUGUAUAAUUGGGCCAAACUGUGUAUCCCUGAGGAAGUACAUUGUGUUUGUGUGUGUGUGUGUGUGUGUGUGUGUGUGUGUGUGUGUUUGUUGCCACCGUCUUUCCCACCCCAGUUUCCAUGAUCUUUGUUAUCAACCUGAACUCAUAACCUUUACCAGUUUUUUAAAUAAAAAGUAUUAUUCAGUGACAACAGAUCUUCGUGCUGCAGGUCUAAAGUCCAACAGAGAACAGAAACCUGCAAGUCAAAUAUUGCCUUAAAUUACAUGCAACCCUGUUCUUCUAUGCAACAUCAGCAACUCUGCUCAUACAAUAAGUGUUCCAUGCAGUGAUAUUACAGCCAUCCAGAAAGGAUCAAUAACAACAAUAUAACCUGGUGCAAUUCAAGCCUCAUACGCUGUCAGAGCGUAUCCCACUGCAGACUCCAGCUUUUAUUAAAUCAUAGCCACCUUCAUGUAACAGCACAAGCUCACAGACACACAUACAUAUAGCUUUUAGAGCAACAACACAUUCUGUAUGUGUGCACACUGUGACACAGUGAGUGUGUGUGUAUACACAUACACACACGCAUACUAAAAUCUCUAAUAAAUAAAUUGAAUCAUUUUGUUCCAUCAGCCUCAAUCAGGGUUAUUGCUGCAGGGCGCUAACAGCAUCUCCUCUCCAAACAAGAGGAUAAGAGCAGGUUAACUGGGUGAAUGCAAAUAAGAACACAUGCAGAAUGAUGUACGACACUUUGUGUAAGUUAAUAUUGAGCAAGAGGCGAUUAUUGAUUUGAUAAUCUAUUUUCUUUCUCUCCGUGAUUCAUCCUUGUACUACUUGUUUGUCGUUCAUGUUCCACGAACACAUUUACUGUGUGUAUUUAGGCUGCGUCACAUCAAAAUGUUUGUUUACAUAGAAGCGACUGAAUUAUUUUGUAAGAGUUUUUAAUUAAAGGUACCCUUUGUAUCCCUAAGCUCUAACAAACAUGAUGAAUGUAUUUCUUUCUUUUCAAACAUUUGCAAUAUAUUUUUACAUUUAAGUUUGCAUUGUUAUUAUUUAUGAGCGAAUAUUCUUUUCUGCUUAGAAAGGUUCCUAACUGAGUGAAAUGACCCG
ensembl:lncRNA